rnacentral:rRNA from 1 species
CCUACGGGGGGCAGCAGUGGGGAAUAUUGGACAAUGGGGGCAACCCUGAUCCAGCCAUGCCGCGUGUGCGAAGAAGGCCCUCGGGUUGUAAAGCACUUUCAGUGAGGAAGAACGCCUGGUGGUUAAUACCCAUCAGGAAAGACAUCACUCACAGAAGAAGCACCGGCUAACUCCGUGCCAGCAGCCGCGGUAAUACGGAGGGUGCGAGCGUUAAUCGGAAUUACUGGGCGUAAAGCGCGCGUAGGUGGCUUGAUAAGCCGGUUGUGAAAGCCCCGGGCUCAACCUGGGAACGGCAUCCGGAACUGUCAAGCUAGAGUGCAGGAGAGGAAGGUAGAAUUCCCGGUGUAGCGGUGAAAUGCGUAGAGAUCGGGAGGAAUACCAGUGGCGAAGGCGGCCUUCUGGACUGACACUGACACUGAGGUGCGAAAGCGUGGGUAGCAAACAGGAUUAGAUACCCCAGUAGUC